UCAGACGAUGCGUCAUGCAUAUCAAUAAGCGGAGGAAAAGAAACUAACAAGGAUUCCCUUAGUAACGGCGAGUGAAGCGGGAAGAGCUCAAAUUUGAAAUCUUCAAGGUUUUACCUUGACGAAUUGUAGUUUAAAGAAGUGUUUUCUGCUGAAGUUUUGGUAAAAGUUCUUUGGAAUAGGACAUCAUAGAGGGUGAGAAUCCCGUAUUUGGUUAUUCAUUCUAGCUUUGUGAUACACUUUCAAAGAGUCGGAUUGUUUGGGAAUGCAGUCCAAAAUGGGUGGUAAAUUUCAUCUAAAGCUAAAUAUUGGCGAGAGACCGAUAGCGAACAAGUACCGUGAGGGAAAGAUGAAAAGAACUUUGAAAAGAGAGUUAAACAGUACGUGAAAUUGUCAAAAGGGAAGCGUUUGACACCAGUGUUGUUUUCUCGAAAAUCAAUUAAAAAGAGUUAGAUUUUGUUGUGUAUUGACCUUAACAGCUUGCAUUUCAAUUUUCUUGCUUUUUUUAAUGCACUUUUCGUUUAACAAGUCAACAUCAGUUUCUUUUGUUGUAAAAAGGUCAUUGGAAGGUGGCUUUCUUUUCGGAGAAAGUGUUUAUAGCCUUUGACUCCUGCAAUCGGAGAGACUGAGGUCUGCAGCGUAGAUCCUUCGGGGUUAGAUACAUUUGUGCUAAGUUAUAGCUUUUUAUAGACAACUUGUUGACUAUGAUUAGUCUUGUAGCUUACUCGCUUAUGCUAUUUUACCUACGCUUAGGAUGUUGAUCUGUAGUGCGUGCGC
rnacentral:rRNA from 1 species